GAUGAACGCUAGCGGCAGGCCUAACACAUGCAAGUCGAGGGGUAGAACACUUCGGUGUUUGAGACCGGCGCACGGGUGCGUAACGCGUAUGCAAUCUACCUUAUACAGGGGAAUAGCCCAGAGAAAUUUGGAUUAAUGCCCCAUAGUGUUAUCGAAUCGCAUGGUUUGAUAACUAAAGUUCCAACGGUAUAAGAUGAGCAUGCGUCCCAUUAGUUAGUUGGUAAGGUAACGGCUUACCAAGACAAUGAUGGGUAGGGGUCCUGAGAGGGAGAUCCCCCACACUGGUACUGAGACACGGACCAGACUCCUACGGGAGGCAGCAGUGAGGAAUAUUGGUCAAUGGGCGCAAGCCUGAACCAGCCAUGCCGCGUGCAGGAAGACGGUCCUAUGGAUUGUAAACUGCUUUUAUACAGGAAGAAACACCUCCACGUGUGGAGGCUUGACGGUACUGUAGGAAUAAGGAUCGGCUAACUCCGUGCCAGCAGCCGCGGUAAUACGGAGGAUCCAAGCGUUAUCCGGAAUCAUUGGGUUUAAAGGGUCCGUAGGCGGUCUUAUAAGUCAGUGGUGAAAGCCCAUCGCUCAACGAUGGAACUGCCAUUGAUACUGUAAGACUUGAAUACUUGUGAAGUAACUAGAAUAUGUAGUGUAGCGGUGAAAUGCUUAGAUAUUACAUGGAAUACCAAUUGCGAA
rnacentral:rRNA from 1 species